AGGGAAUAUUGCAAAAUGGGCGGAAGCCCGAUGCAGCAACGCCGCGUGGGCGAUGAAGGCCUUCGGGUCGUAAAGCCCUUUUUGAGGGGAUGAGGAAGGACAGUACCCUCAGAAUAAGCCUCGGCUAACUACGUGCCAGCAGCCGCGGUAAAACGUAGGAGGCGAGCGUUAUCCGGAUUUACUGGGCGUAAAGCGCGUGCAGGCGGAUUGGAGAGUUGGAUGUGAAAGCUCCCGGCUUAACUGGGAGAGGUCGUUCAAUACUUCCAGUCUUGAGUGCAGUAGAGGGAAGUGGAAUUCCGGGUGUAGUGGUGAAAUGCGUAGAUAUCCGGAGGAACACCAGUGGCGAAAGCGGCUUCCUGGACUGUAACUGACGCUCAGACGCGAAAGCUAGGGUAGCAAACG
rnacentral:rRNA from 1 species